AAAGAGAGAUCGAUCUGAAGAGAUCAGCUUAUCGCCUUCUUCAUUUCGUAUUUCGCAUUUGUGUUUCAGAAUGAGAUUGACGCGAAGACACAGACAAACGCGACGAUUUCAUCUCCCAAUCCCGACCCGACACGUAGCCUCACGGGACGAGCCCAUCAUCCCUUAUUUUAGGCCCGUUCCACUCAUUUUCUUUUCUUUUUGAUUUAUUUUCGACCCAAAUUUUUUAAGGGCCCUGCCUUAAGGGACCCCGAUGCUGAUGCUUUAAUGGACUUGUUAAAGUUAACGACACUCACACGUCUGUUUAGAUUUUUAUUUCUUCUAUUUUUUUUUACAUUGGUUUUCUUAGAUGGAUUAUUGAUUUAUUUCUCUUGAAGAUGUAAGAAAAGAAAAUGUAAAGAUGGGUUCUUGAAUUGGUGUCAGGUUGAUUACUAUCAAACUCAUAGAUGACUAGUGUUACUAAGUACAUCAUCACAGCUCAAAUCCAACAAAAGACUUCACUGAG
rnacentral:lncRNA from 1 species